AGUAACGUGGCUUAUUGGAAAGAGCACUGGCCUGAGAAUCAGAGGGCCUAGGUUCUAAAUCCUAGCCCCACUG
rnacentral:tRNA from 1 species